rnacentral:rRNA from 1 species
AUACGUAGGGGGCGAGCGUUGUCCGGAAUGAUUGGGCGUAAAGGGCGCGUAGGCGGCCCGGUAAGUCUGGAGUGAAAGUCCUGUUUUUAAGAUGGGAAUUGCUUUGGAUACUGUCGGGCUUGAGUGCAGGAGAGGUAAGUGGAAUUCCCAGUGUAGCGGUGAAAUGCGUAGAGAUUGGGAGGAACACCAGUGGCGAAGGCGACUUACUGGACUGUAACUGACGCUGAGGCGCGAAAGUGUGGGGAGCAAACAGGAUUAGAUACCCUGGUAGUCCACACUGUAAACGAUGAGCACUAGUUGUUGGGUCCGAAUGGAUUCAGUGACGCAGUUAACGCAAUAAGUGCUCCGCCUGGGGAGUACGGUGGCAACACUAAAACUCAAAUGAAUUGACGGGG